CCGCAGUGAAUAACUGUGCUAAGGUAGCGUAAUAAAUUGUCUCUUAAUUGGAGAAGGGUAUGAAUGGUUUGACGUGGUAGUUUCUGUCUCAAUAAUAGUAUUGCGAAAUUUUCAUUUAAGUUAAAAGCCUUAAAUACAAAUAAAAGACGAGAAGACCCUGUCGAGCUUAAUAAAAUUAUGAAAAGAUUUCAUGUAAUAAAUUUAACUGGGGCAGUUGAGAACCAAAAAAUAGUUCUUUGUUAUUUGAAGAUCCGGUUUUACCGAUCAUAAGAAAAAGCUACCGCAGGGAUAACAGCGUUAUCCUUUCUAAGAGAACUAAUUGAAGAAAGGGUUUGCGACCUCGAUGUUGGAUUAAAGUUUCUUUUUGGUGCAGCAGCU
rnacentral:rRNA from 1 species